UAUAGCUAUCUAUACCUCUAUACAUGAUUUUUCAUGGUUAAAUCCAACGUGGAGGUACCACCUUCAUUUGAGGGUGGCCGGUCGACCCACUAUUUAUUUUUAAUUUUUUCUAUUCUCUUUUAUCUUAGUAAAAACUCUUUUUCUCCCUCACAGUCACAUCUUUCAACUCUCUUUCCCUCUCUUUUUUCUUUUUUCUCUGAUCUAUUACUUUUCUUUAUCUCCCAAACCGAUGGCGGCAACUCUCCCUCUCCCCUUACCUCGCCUAUGCAACAAUUUUGAAUCCC
rnacentral:lncRNA from 1 species